AGUGAACGCUGGCGGUAGGCCUAACACAUGCAAGUCGAACGGCAGCACAGUAAGAGCUUGCUCUUACGGGUGGCGAGUGGCGGACGGGUGAGGAAUACAUCGGAAUCUACUUUUUCGUGGGGGAUAACGUAGGGAAACUUACGCUAAUACCGCAUACGACCUACGGGUGAAAGCAGGGGAUCUUCGGACCUUGCGCGAUUGAAUGAGCCGAUGUCGGAUUAGCUAGUUGGCGGGGUAAAGGCCCACCAAGGCGACGAUCCGUAGCUGGUCUGAGAGGAUGAUCAGCCACACUGGAACUGAGACACGGUCCAGACUCCUACGGGAGGCAGCAGUGGGGAAUAUUGGACAAUGGGCGCAAGCCUGAUCCAGCCAUACCGCGUGGGUGAAGAAGGCCUUCGGGUUGUAAAGCCCUUUUGUUGGGAAAGAAAAGCAGCAGGUUAAUACCCCGCUGUUCCGACGGAACCCAAAGAAUAAGCACCGGCUAACUUCGUG
rnacentral:rRNA from 1 species